CCAACGUGGAGAUGCUGGGAACACAGCCAUGAGAGAUUCUGACAAGUCUUGACUUCAUUCAGCUUCCCAGUCAAGGGACAAUUAAUUACCGUGAUGUGGAGUAUUAACAGUGACAAUAUGGUUCUCAGGACAAACACAUAGAGCCCAUCUUCACUUCAUAAGGGAAGCUUUAGAAGGGUGAGGAAGCUGAGCCGAAGAGCGAUAAAAGAAAGAGAGAAGACAGAAACAUGGACCUAAGAGCUGUUUGGACACAGAAGGAAGAACCCUGAUGAUCCAGCAUUCUUUGUCUUUUCAUUUCCAAAAGGUUUACAAUAGUGCAGAAUUUUGUGUGGCAGUUUAAGUAAGUGUGCACCCUAUGAGGAGUCAAGGAAGGUCUUGAUGUGACGCAGGCAGAAACUCCCUAAAAGAUUCAGCGCAUGGACUCAGGAGAGGGCAGCCAGAGAUGGCCGUGAGAAUGCUAAAGAAGAAAAAUUACAUGAUUGUGAAGAAAACUACAUAUAUCUAGAAUGUAUAAAGAACUCUCAGAACUCAACAAUAAGAAAACCAGUAAUUCAGUUUAAAACUGGUCAAAAGAUUUAAAUGGAUGCUUUAUUAAAGAAGAUAUUUGGAUAGUAAAUAAGCAUAUGAGAAGAGGCUGAACAUAGUCAGUGGGAAAAUGCAAAUUAAAACCACAGAGACUUCAGAAAGCUGGAUCUUGAAAGAUGAGCUGAAGUCUGUGGAGGAUGGGUUUGAAGAAGAUGGACCUGGAGGACUGGAGACUGGUUGGCAGAAUUUCUGAAACAUUUCAGGUAAGAGGAAGAAAGUGGCUUGACCUGGACAGAAGUUAGGGAAAA
rnacentral:lncRNA from 1 species